AGCAUAUCAAUAAGCGGAGGAAAAGAAACCAACAGGGAUUGCCCUAGUAACGGCGAGUGAAGCGGCAACAGCUCAAAUUUGAAACCUGGCGCUUGCGUCCGGAUUGUAAUUUGCAGAGGAUGCUUCUGGGCAGCGGCCGGUUUAAGUUCCUUGGAAAAGGACGUCACAGAGGGUGAGAACCCCGUAUGUGACCGGCGCGCACCCUCCACGUAGCUCCUUCGACGAGUCGAGUUGUUUGGGAAUGCAGCUCUAAAUGGGAGGUAAAUUUCUUCUAAAGCUAAAUAUUGGCCCGAGACCGAUAGCGCACAAGUAGAGUGAUCGAAAGAUGAAAAGCACUUUGGAAAGAGAGUUAAAAAGCACGUGAAAUUGUUGAAAGGGAAGCGCUUCCCACCAGACUCCGCGGCGGUGUUCCGCCGGUCUUCUGACCGGUCCACUCGCCGCCGUGGGGCCAGCAUCGUCUGGGGCCGCCGGAUAAGACCGCAGGAAUGUAGCUCAUUGAGUGUUAUAGCCUGCGGGGAUGCGGCGCGCCCCGGGCGAGGUCCGCGCUUCGGCAAGGAUGCUGGCGUAAUGGUGGGCAGCGGCCCGUCUUGAAACACGGACCAAGGAGUCUAACAUCUAUGCGAGUGUUCGGGUGUCAAACCCCUACGCGUAAUGAAAGUGAACGGAGGUGGGAGCUUCGGCGCACCAUCGACCGAUCCUGAUGUCCUCGGAUGGAUUUGAGUAAGAGCAUAGCUGUUGGGACCCGAAAGAUGGUGAACUAUGCCUGAAUAGGGUGAAGCCAGAGGAAACUCUGGUGGAGGCUCGCAGCGGUUCUGACGUGCAAAUCGAUCGUCAAAUUUGGGCAUAGGGGCGAAAGACUAAUCGAACCAUCUAGUAGCUGGUUCCUGCG
rnacentral:rRNA from 1 species